GGAUAUCUAGUUAAAUAAGUCAUUAUAAAUAGUUGCUCCGUGGGCUUUCCGCAUUUCACCCUGCUCCAGGCAGCGUGGUCUGUAUGGCUCCGCCCUGGGCAGGAGGAGAAAGAAGAGGGCCAGGCACCACGUGCCUGCACUCUCCCUGGAUGCUGGAGGCUGCUCCGCCGUGGGCAGGAGGAGAAGGAAGAGAACUGGGUGCCGCCUGCCUGCACUCUCUCCGGAUGCUGGAGGCUGGAGGCAGUGAGGCAGCAACAGCGCGAGGGCGAGGCGACUUUGGAGCUGCCUCAUGCAGCGACCUCGCCUUCCGCUGCGCCUCCUCCCAGAACCCAAGAAGCCUGGAACCUGUGGCGUCCAGCCCUGAAAGGAGGAGACGGCAACCCAGCCGCGCGUUUUGCCUGCACUCUCCCUGGAUGCUGGAGGCUGGAGGCAGUGACGCAGCAACAGCGCGAGGCGACUUUGGAGCGGCCUCAUAUAGCGACCUCGCCUUCCGCUGCGCGUCCUCCCAGAGCCCAAGAAGCCCGGAACCUGUGGCAUCCAUCUCUGAAAGGAGAAGACGGCAACCCAGCCGAGGGCACUACUGGGUUGGGGUCUCCACGACCGAGCUGGUCUCAUCAAGUGGCGUCCAACAAGGGGCUCAAACCCGGGUUGAGGGGUUGCUGGAGCGACGGAGAACGUGGAACUACACUGGAGGACACCAGAGUACUCUUAAGCAAUCCCUUGGGCCAAAACCAGCAACUGAUUUGGAUACCAUCAAGACACCUGAAAUCUUGUCAUGAGCCAGAUACUGAGGAAGAGAUUUUGGGAAGAACCCAAGGACCCCCCAGUUGCAGCCAUGUCAAGACUGACAAUAAGGAAGACAUCAGUCCCAGCAAGCAACAUUCAUCGGGCACAGCCACCCAUGUGGGGCCAGAUCAAGAAGUUGACACAGAUGGCGGAAGAAAAUCUGAAGAAAGCGGAUGACCAGCUACAAUGAGUAAUCUAAUGGUCUGCAGAUGUGGAUCCCGAAUCCUGCGAGAAGUAGCCCACCAUGACGAAGCUGCCUUUGCUUUUAUCGCUUUGCAAAAACAGAAAAGGGGACAUGCUGGGAACAGGCCCUAAGCCUGUCAUAAACAGGCCUUAAACUGACCAUGAACAGGAUUUCUGCACGAAUGUGACGUGCUCCUGAUGGCUAUGACGCCCACUGCUAGAAGUUGUUAGUUUACUGGAGCAGGGUAGGGAACACCUGGCCCACCCGGAGCGGAAAACUGCUCAAACCACAAACAACAGCAUGAGUGGCCUGAGCCUUAACAACAUGUUUUUGCUGCAGAUAAUCGGCCAGAGACUGUUUCUCUACUCCUCUCUAAGUAUGCUUUGUUUUUCGUAAGGAAUGCUUUUAGCUAAUCUGUAACCUAUAGAAACAAUGCUUAUCACUGGCUUGCUGUCAAUAAACAUGUGGGUCAAACUCUGUUUGUGGCUCUCAGCUCUCAAGGCUGUUUUCCCCCUGAUUCCCACUUUGCACUUUAUUUCUGUGUGUUUGUCUUCAUUCCUCUAGCACCACUGGGUUGGGGUCUCCUUGACCAAGCUGGUCUCGGCACAUAUGCAUGUAUGCCCAGGUCCUGAAAUCAGCCUUGUGGAGCCUGUGGGUAGGAAAAGUCAACCCUCUGUGCAUGUAGGCCUGGAACCUGACCAAUACUGUAUUUUCCUACCACGUUUGGUUUCAAAUGUGGAAACUGCCCAUACGGACCUACUGCAUUUGUUUUUAAAAAUCCUCUGUAAGUGGACCUGCACAGUUCAGGCCCAGAUUGUUCCAGGAUCAACCCUACAGUAGAAAUCAAGUAUCUUUUUCAUUGUCUCUUGGGAUCUGCCUUUUCACCAAUAAAAUAUGAGGGCUGUUGGGAGCAGGCCCCCCCAAAUCUGGCCAUAAACUGUCCCCAAAACUGGCCAUAAACAAAAUCUCUGCAGCACUAUAACAUGUUCAUAAUGGCCAUAACGCCCAAGUUGGAAGGUUGUGGAUUUACAGGAAUGAGGGCAAGGAACACCUGGCCUGCCCAGGGUGGAAAACCACUUAAAGGCAUUCUUAAGCCACAAACAAUAGCAUGAGUGAUCUGUGCCUUAAGAACAUGCUCCUGCUGCAGUUAACUAGCCCAACAUAUUCCUUUAAUUCAGUCCAUCCCUUCGUUUCCCAUAAGGGAUACUUUUAGUUAAUUUAAUAUCUAUAGAAAGAAUGCUAAUGACUGGUUUGCUGUUAAUAAAUACGUGGGUAAAUCUCUGUUUGGGGCUCUCAACUCUGAAGGCUGUGAGACCCCUGAUUUCCCACUUGACACCUCUA
rnacentral:lncRNA from 1 species